ensembl:lncRNA
GAGACCAGUUACCACCAAUUGUCUGUCGACAGAGACAACGAUUUGGACUGCAGUGCCCAUUUUAAACGCUUGCUCUCAGUGUUAUAUAUUGGUUCUUUAAACAAGAGACAAGAGUUUUUAUCUUAUUUACAUUUUUAACAAAAUAACGAACGAAAUUAACAGAAUAUUUCUUGAGUCCGCGGUCCACACUCCAGUACAGGGGGUGGCAGUACGGGGCAACUAUAUUGGUGUAACAACGAUGAAGAAAUAUAUGGCAAGCGGAAGUGGUUGACUACUGUUUUGGCCGCGGUUCGCUUAAACUCAAAGGAUGUAUUUCCAGCAUUAUAACGAUGUUGAACAAUAUUUACGCUUUGGAACUCACAGACAAGACCAUCAGAACCAAAGCCAUAUAAGAAGAGCAAGUGUGCAUUUUUUCUUGAAAGAUGACGGUCUUUGGCAUUUUGAUGGCCAACGGCAACGCAAAGUCCUACGCAGCCCGGAAGAAGUGAAGUGUGUGCUCAAACAAUACCAAAAGAUC